rnacentral:rRNA from 1 species
GACGAACGCUGGCGGCGUGCUCAACACAUGCAAGUCGAGCGAUGAAGCUUCCUUCGGGAAGUGGAUUAGCGGCGGACGGGUGAGUAACACGUGGGUGACCUGCCUCAAAGUGGGGAAUAGCCUUCCGAAAGGGAGAUUAAUACCGCAUAAUAUGAGAGAAUCGCAUGAUUUUCUUAUCAAAGAUUUAUUGCUUUGAGAUGGACCCGCGGCGCAUUAGCUAGUUGGUAAGGUAACGGCUUACCAAGGCAACGAUGCGUAGCCGACCUGAGAGGGUGAUCGGCCACAUUGGAACUGAGACACGGUCCAGACUCCUACGGGAGGCAGCAGUGGGGAAUAUUGCGCAGUGGGGGAAACCCUGACGCAGCAACGCCGCGUGGGUGAUGAAGGUCUUCGGAUUGUAAAGCCCUGUUUUCUGGGACGAUAAUGACGGUACCAGAGGAGGAAGCCACGGCUAACUACGUGCCAGCAGCCGCAGUAA